ACAGUACUCUUACGCCUGAAAUUUGCUUUUUACCUGGCCCUCGUGCUCUCUUACUUUGAGAAAAUAAAGGUGAGCAAAGUUUCAGGUGUGUGAGUGCGUU
rnacentral:pre_miRNA from 1 species